rnacentral:tRNA from 1 species
GCCUGCGUGAUGUAAUGGUUUGCACACUCGACGCGUAUUCGAGAGGUCCGUGGUUCGAGUCCCGACGAGGGCA